GUCUCUGGGUAGAAGCCAGAAAUCCGUGUUCUAACAAGCCCUCCUGGUGAUUCUGCAGGAUACUUAGUUUGAGAAUCACUGGUGUGGAAUCAGGAGACCUGACCACAAGGCAAUGUGGUAAGGUGACCAAGAACUUUGUGGUCAGACAGCCCUGAGUUUGUAUCUCACAUCCAGUUCUAGCUGUGUGAAGUUGGACAAGUACUUUCACCUUCUAAGGCUCUUUAUUAAUGUACCUGCCUUAGAGGUUUUUUGCAGGGAUAAACCAAGAACAUCCAUGAAACCAUAUUAGCUAUUGUUUCAUCAUCAGCAUCAUCAUAGAACUCCCUGAAGGCAUGACUAUACUAUUUCCCUGAGUAUGAGUAGUCAAUGUUCAAUAUAGUCUAUAAAAGAUAACAAGAAGGAACUAAGCUUCCCACAUAAUAGAAAAAGAGGAGUAUAUAAGAUCUACAGAACAAAUUGCUUCAAUGUCUUUUGUAACAAAGGUAAAAGGUUGAAAAGAUGAGGGAGCAAUGGGAGCUGUGGCUUCCUCCCUCUGCCAUCAACACUCUGCCAGUAUGGACAGUUGCCAGUGAGGACAGGGUUGCAGGCCUAGGCCAGCAAAGCUGUAAGGGAACAGAAUAUUCACAUCAUGUGCCUCUUGGUAGGAUGCACUGGGAGCUACACAACAUGACUUCCUGCCAAAGCCACAAGGAGACAUCAGACAACCCCAUACUGAGGGGUAGUCUACAAAACAAACGGCCUGUACUAUUCAAAAAGAUCCAUAUCAUGAAAUCCAAAGGAAAACCGUUCCAAGUUAAAGUGACUAAAAGAACAUGACAACUAAAUGCCACACGUGAUACAGAGAAUAUUAUUGAGACAAAAGAUAGAAUCUGAAGAAGGUCUGUAAAUGAGAUA